AUUGAACGCUGGCGGAAUGCUUUACACAUGCCAGUCGAACGGCAGCACGGGGGCAACCCUGGUGGCGAGUGGCGAACGGGUGAGUAAUACAUCGGAACGUGCCCGGUCGUGGGGGAUAACGUAGCGAAAGUUACGCUAAUACCGCAUACGAUCUGAGGAUGAAAGCGGGGGACCUUCGGGCCUCGCGCCAUCGGAGCGGCCGAUGUCAGAUUAGGUAGUUGGUGGGGUAAAGGCCUACCAAGCCGACGAUCUGUAGCUGGUCUGAGAGGACGACCAGCCACACUGGGACUGAGACACGGCCCAGACUCCUACGGGAGGCAGCAGUGGGGAACUUUGGACAAUGGGCGCAAGCCUGAUCCAGCCAUUCCGCGUGCAGGACGAAGGCCUUCGGGUUGUAAACUGCUUUUGUAUGGAACGAAAAGGCUCUGGCUAAUACCUGGGGCUCAUGACGGUACCGUAAGAAUAAGCACCGGCUAACUACGUG
rnacentral:rRNA from 1 species